UCUCUCUCUCUUUUUUUUUUUUCUUUUUUUCCAAGUCUUUUUCGCAGGCUUUGGAAAAGGCCUGUUUCCUGGCAGGAGGAAAAGCCAGCCUUGGCUUCAAGCAGUCACUGACAAUUCCCAGCAUAUGGUAAGAGAGGGAGCUUCCGCCUACCCCAUCAGCUGCCUCUUCAUUUCCUGGUUUGGAGACUGACUCAGAAUUGAAGACAUUAAGCAUUAAAAUUAGCUGAAAAAUAAAGGGUGGAGAUGCGAAUAAUGUCAGGGACUUUGCAUUCUAUUUCUCACGAGCUUUCAAACUUGUUCAACUUUUAAGAAAAGUCUUGUUUAAUACUUGUUGUUCCAGCUACUUUUAGAAGACAUUUUGGAAGACAGGAAGGCCAGAUACUUCAGGCAAGAGGCAUAAUGACUUGGGGCACAGACCACUAAAAAAAAAAAAUCAAUCCUGAAUCCCUGAGGCUUCUGUACUCUUGUUGAGAAGGCAGAACCUAGUGUUUCAUCAAAUUUUUUGUGAUAACCAUUGAUGACGUUGCAGAAACCAUGAUAAUGUAAAAUAAUGGAUUAAAUUUGUAUGAGCAUAACUGUAGUGAUGAAACAAUUUAAACUCAUUUCUGAAGGCAUUCAUGCACUGGUGCUUGCUCAGGGUGUGAGCUAGAAGGCCACUAUCCCUUCAAAAUUAGACAGAGAUGUUGAUGACCAUUCUCAGUUAUUAUACUUCUAAAUUACAGCCUGUCCUCAUCCUUGAAGAUCAAAAAGGGAGUAAUUUCUGUUUUACAGGAGAUUACUCGCACUACAAGUCUAACUCUUGUUCACUUUGAGGUACUUAAAUAAAUCUGGAGCCCUGGCUGUAGGACAGACAGACAGUUCCAGUGGGAAAAUCAGCUCUGAAUUUCAUAAUGGGAAUUUCAUUCAUUUUCUGAAUGUGUUCAUCCUUAUCCAUUAGCCCAGAGGACCCAGGACUAGCAGACGCCUUUGAAAUUCAGCCCACUGCCUCAGGUUAGAUUAAAUGAAUCCAUAGUUCUGAUCAGCAGAGUUAAAAAAAAAAAUACAAAACCCAAACCAACCAAAAAGCACAACAACCACAUACCAUAUAAUAAUAUGGAAGGAAAUAAAGGACAAGGGAUAUUUUUAUUUGUGCAGCUGACCAGAUAUUUCCAUCUUUGGAUUGCUCCCUCUGCUGCCUGCAAGGUAGCUGGAGGGGAGCUAGCAAAGCUACCCAGGUGGACUCUGCAUCCCUCUUCCUCGCCCAACUCCCAGCAUUAGAGAUGCCGACAGUUACUAGAUAAAGUUAAAGACUCAUGUAGUGAUCUUCACACUAAUUGGACUGUAAUGUAUAGCCUCGGUCAAGCAAAUCUCUCCCAGCACUCCUCUCCACAGACGGCAAUCAAGCCAUUUACAGAAGAUGCAUCGGCUGCUGGGACCCUGGAGUAACCUUAAACUACGCUGGCCUUUUAGCAGAAAACACAAUUAAUUUUGAUACUGAAGGGCAAUUAGGACUGGGGUUAAAAUAAAAAAUCUUCUGAACAGAGAAUGUCAAAGACUGGUAAGGAAACUAUUUCCCUUGUACACAGCUUGUUGAAGGUCUGUAAGCACGGCGACUGUCAGCUCACGUUAAUUCAUAUCACUUUGAAAACCUCUCAUUUCAAUGUAGGAAAUAUAAAUUCAGAUUAAUAAGCACUGUGCUCAAACC
rnacentral:lncRNA from 7 species